CGGUCUAGCAUGCAUCUCCGCAUCUGCUUUGAAGCCGAAGGUAGUGCGCCGCGGGCGUCAUACUCUCUCGAUCUCUCUCCCGCCUACACACCCCCUGCCCAACACGCGCGCCGUCCUAGAGUAACUACGCGCCUACGCCGCCGCCGCCAGCUGCCGAGAGAUUUCCACCCCUCGUCGUCCUUCUCCUCCACCACAUCCCACUCGGAGUACUCUGCCAAUCCCGCUCCCCCCACACGCCGUACAUCCCAAUCCGAGAUAACCACCACCUCUUGGUUGGACCUCGCCGGAAUGGUUAGGGGUCAGGGGUGAGGAUGAGGCGGAGACGAAGCAGAGAGGAUGAUGGUAUCCAGGGUUGCAGAUAUUGAGAUCUUGCAGUCGGCUCUCAAUGGGGUCGCCAUGGGGAUGUCCCAGGAACAGCGUGUCCGACUGUCCGUCGGUCUGCUCGUUGCCUCGUCGUCGCGCUCUUCUUCCAUCACCACCACCAGGGCACCAGGUGUUCGAGGAAAUGUGCCAGCGCAUAGAGAAUGGACUUCACCUGUCACUAAUUACGAGUACACACAUACACACAUAUCAUGUCCUUGGGUGGAUAAACACCAUACAUAGUGUAUACAGUAUACUAACAGUCAUCAAUGCUUGUGAGUCCAUCGUUCUAUGUGGAAGAAUGAUUGGAACCAGACCGCCAAUAUGAAGCCCACUGUGAACCCCAAGCCAGAAAAGAAGAACAAAAGGAUCACGCCAAGUCUGUCCUGCCAGAAACUGCUGGUUUCUGAAGUAGCUGAUGCAUUUCGAGAUGUUGAGCCUGGAGUAUCACAUUGUUUAGACAACGGCUUUCCACAGAGGUUGGCAUUGCCUUCAAACGAGCUGCUGCUAAAUGACCCAAACUGGUUGCCCUGCGGUAUUCUUCCAGUCAAGUUGUUGUAUGAAAGAUCAACGAAGCAAGAGAGGUUAGAGAGGUUAACUGUAGAGGGAUUUCCCCUGAGAGCUUGUUCCAAGAGAGAUCCAAUGACUCCAGCUGAGUCAAAGAACUAAGCUGUGAUGGAAUUUGUCCUGUGAAGGCAUUGUGGGACAGGUUAAAUCCAUGUAGUGAAGCAAGCUUCCCCCAUUGACUUUGGAAUAGGACCACCAAAUGAGUUGUCUGAGAGAUCAAUUGCUUUGAAGGUGGUCAGGAUUUUAGUGAACAUAAGAGUGUUCCCUUUGUAAGUGACAGCCGUAUUAUCCUGAUAGAGCGAUUUUAUACUUGCUUUCGUA